rnacentral:rRNA from 1 species
ACACAUGCAAGUCGAGGGGCAGCAUGUUGGUUGCUUGCAACCAACGAUGGCGACCGGCGCACGGGUGAGUAACGCGUAUCCAACCUACCCUUGUCCAUCGGAUAACCCGUCGAAAGGCGGCCUAACACGAUAUGCGGUUCACGGCAGGCAUCUAAGGUGAACGAAAUGUGAAGGAGAAGGAUGGGGAUGCGUCUGAUUAGCUUGUUGGCGGGGUAACGGCCCACCAAGGCUACGAUCAGUAGGGGUUCUGAGAGGAAGGUCCCCCACAUUGGAACUGAGACACGGUCCAAACUCCUACGGGAGGCAGCAGUGAGGAAUAUUGGUCAAUGGGCGAGAGCCUGAACCAGCCAAGUAGCGUGCAGGAUGACGGCCCUAUGGGUUGUAAACUGCUUUUAUAGGGGGAUAAAGUGUGCCACGUGUGGCAUAUUGCAGGUACCCUAUGAAUAAGGACCGGCUAAUUCCGUGCCAGCAGCCGCGGUAAUACGGAAGGUCCGGGCGUUAUCCGGAUUUAUUGGGUUUAAAGGGAGCGUAGGCCGUUUGGUAAGCGUGUUGUGAAAUGUCGGGGCUCAACCUGGGCAUUGCAGCGCGAACUGCCAGACUUGAGUGCGCAGGAAGUAGGCGGAAUUCGUCGUGUAGCGGUGAAAUGCUUAGAUAUGACGAAGAACUCCGAUUGCGAAGGCAGCCUGCUGUAGCGCAACUGACGCUGAAGCUCGAAAGCGUGGGUAUCGAACAGGAUUAGAUACCCUGGUAGUCCACGCGGUAAACGAUGGAUGCUCGCUGUUUGCGUCUGACGUAAGCGGCCAAGCGAAAGCGUUAAGCAUCCCACCUGGGGAGUACGCCGGCAACGGUGAAACUCAAAGGAAUUGACGGGGGCCCGCACAAGCGGAGGAACAUG